rnacentral:tRNA from 1 species
GUCCCUAUAGCGCAGUGGAUAGCGCGUUGGAUUUUUAAUCCAAAAGUACCGGGUCCGUUACCCGGUAGGGAUG